rnacentral:rRNA from 1 species
AGAGUUUGAUCCUGGCUCAGGGUUAACGCUGGCGGCGUGCUUACACAUGCAAGUCGAACGGGGCUAUCAGCGAUGGUAGCUUAGUGGCGAACGGGUGAGGAAGACGCAGGGACCUACCGACCAGAGGGGGAUACCCGCUGGAAACGGCGGAUAAAACCGCAUACGCCCGGGUGAAAGCCCGGGGAAAGGCACUACGGUGUUACUGGACGAGGGACCUGCGGCCCAUCAGGUAGUUGGGGAGGUAACGGCUCACCAAGCCGACGACGGGUAUCUGGCGUGAGAGCGCGAACAGGCACAAGGACACUGAGAGACGGGUCCUACUCCUACGGGAGGCAGCAGUGGGGAAUAUUGGACAAUGGGCGAAAGCCUGAUCCAGCGACGCCGCGUGUCGGAAGGAGUCCUUCGGGAUGUAAACGACUUUUGGUGGAGACGAAUAAGCAGCUCAGGGAAUGGGGCUGUGAUGACGGUAUCCAUGGAAUAAGCCCCGGCUAACUACGUGCCAGCAGCCGCGGUAAGACGUAGGGGCAAGCGUUACCCGGAAUUACUGGGCGUAAAGGGAGCGUAGGCGGGAGGUCAAGUCCGGUGUGAAAGACCCUGGCUCAACCAGGGAUGAGGGCUGGAAACUGACAAUCUUGAGUACAGCAGAGGAAGAGGGAAUUACCGGUGUAGGGGUGAAAUCCGUAGAGACCGGUAAGAAGGCCAGUGGCGAAGGCGCUUUUCUGGGCUGUUACUGACGCUGAGGCUCGAAAGCCAGGGGAGCAAACCGGAUUAGAUACCCGGGUAGUCCUGGCCGUAAACGAUGCUCACUAGGUGUGGGGCGCAUAGCGUGCUCUGCGCUGAAGCAAACGCAAUAAGUGAGCCGCCUGGGGAGUACGUCCGCAAGGAUGAAACUCAAAGGAAUUGACGG